rnacentral:lncRNA from 1 species
AAAAGAGAGCGACACCACCGGCCCUUGGCUAUCCGUUCGCCUUCCCCUCUCUCUCCCUCGACCAAAACAACGGAGAGAAAAAGAGAGAAAAAAAAGGAGGGGGAAAUCCAUAAAUCGCCGCUUCUUCUUCUUCCUCCUCCUCCCCCUCUUCGUCUUCCUCCUCCUCCUCUCUUUGGUUUGGUUUGGUUUGCUCCCUUUCUCCGUGACUUGCGUCUCCGCCUCCACCUCUCUCUCUAGCGAUCACCAUCCAAUCCCUUCUCCUCCUCUUCUUCCGCGAAUCAAUCGCGCCGAAAUGGCUCCGCCUAAUCGCGCGGCCCCCAAUCCUGCCCUAAUCCCCAACCCGCCCGCAUUAGCCACCAUUUCCGCCGUUUAAUCCUGUCCCACCACCACCGCCGGCUUAGGGUUGCGUG